UGGGGAAUAGCUCAAUGGUAGAGCAUGUGCCUAGCAUGCACGAGGCCCUGGGUUCAAUCCCCAGUACCUCCA
rnacentral:tRNA from 1 species